rnacentral:rRNA from 1 species
UACCAGCACCCCGAGUGGGCGGGACGUUUAUUGGGCCUAAAGCAUCCGUAGCCGGUUCUACAAGUCUUCCGUUAAAUCCACCUGCUUAACAGAUGGGCUGCGGAAGAUACUAUAGAGCUAGGAGGCGGGAGAGGCAAGCGGUACUCGAUGGGUAGGGGUAAAAUCCGUUGAUCCAUUGAAGACCACCAGUGGCGAAGGUGGCUUGCCAGAACGCGCUCGACGGUGAGGGAUGAAAGCUGGGGGAGCAAACCGG